GGCCCUAUGGUCAAGCGGUUAAGACAUCGCCCUUUCACGGCGGUAACUCGGGUUCGAAUCCCGGUAGGGUCA
rnacentral:tRNA from 1 species